GACGAACGCUGGCGGCGUGCCUAAUACAUGCAAGUCGAACGCAGUGGGGACGGGUGAGUAACACGUGGGUAACCUCCCAUCAGAGGGGAUAACACUUGGAAACAGGUGCUAAACCGAUACUGAUGGAUGGACCCGCGGUGCAUUAGCUAGUUGGUGAGGUAACGGCUCACCAAGGCCACGAUGCAUAGCCGGCCUGGGAAGGGGAACGGGCACACCGGGACGUGGGCACGGCCCAGACUGCUACGGGAGGCAGCAGUAGGGAAUUUUUCGCAAUGGACGAAAGUCUUACCGGGCAAAGGCGAGUGGGUGAAGAAGGGUUUCGGAAUGUAAAAUCCUGUUUGUAGAGAAGCGGUAUCUAACCAGAAAGCCACGGCUAACUACGUGCCAGCCGCCGCGGUAAUUC
rnacentral:rRNA from 1 species